rnacentral:lncRNA from 1 species
UUAUCAACUUGCAAUUAAAUGGUUUGCAAUAAUCUUAUGUAAUAGAAGAAAAUUAGAAAAAAAUAUGUGCUGUUAAAAAAUAUGUAAUAGAAAUAAGAAGAUGUGGUAUGGGUGCCAAUGAGACAACUCUCCAUCCAAGUCACAAUGUGUAAAAAGAUAACAAUUAUAGGUCGAAGUACGGUCUUCAACACAGAGCCUUGGCUCAUGCAGAACAGAAAGCUAUGAAGGGCCCCAA